UACGGGGGGAGCAAGCGUUGUUCGGAUUUACUGGCGUAAAGGGCGCGUAGGCGGCCACCGCAAGUCGAUUGUGAAAUCUCCGGGCUUAACCCGGAAAGGUCAACCGAUACUGCGGGGCUAGAGUGCAGAAGGGGCAACUGGAAUUCUCGGUGUAGCGGUGAAAUGCGUAGAUAUCGAGAGGAACACCUGCGGCGAAGGCGGGUUGCUGGGCUGACACUGACGCUGAGGCGCGAAAGCUAGGGGAGCGAACGGG
rnacentral:rRNA from 1 species